rnacentral:rRNA from 1 species
CCCUUAGAUGUUCUGGGCUGCACGCGCGCGACAAUGACGUUUGCAACGAGAUACGAGACCGAAAGGUUAAGUUGAUCUAGCAAGCUGCGUCGUGAUAGGGACUGUCGAUUGCAAUUAUUCGACACGAACGAGGAAUUCCUUGUAAUCGCACAUCAUCAAUCUGCAUUGAUUACGUCCCUGCCCUUUGUACACACCGCCCGUCGCACCUACCGAUUGGAUGGUCCGGUGAAGCCUCGGGAUUGUGGUUCUUGCCGCUUUAUUGUGGCGUGACCGCGAGAACUUGUCUAAACCUUAUCAUCUAGAGGAAGGUGAAGUCGUAACA